CACGUAGGGUGCGAGCGUUGUCCGGAAUUAUUGGGCGUAAAGAGCUCGUAGGCGGUGUGUCACGUCGGCCGUGAAAACCUGCAGCUUAACUGUGGGCGUGCGGUCGAUACGGGCAUCACUGGAGUUCGGCAGGGGAGACUGGAAUUCCUGGUGUAGCGGUGAAAUGCGCAGAUAUCAGGAGGAACACCGGUGGCGAAGGCGGGUCUCUGGGCCGAUUCUGACGCUGAGGAGCGAAAGCGUGGGGAGCAAACAGG
rnacentral:rRNA from 1 species